rnacentral:lncRNA from 1 species
ACUCGAGAGCUAGCUGAGCGAAUGGGCCGGCGACUGUGGAGUUAGCGUCCUCAAUGUGGACGCCCUGAGCUCCCAUUAGGAGCCGCUGGCUGCGGCAGCAGGGGACUAGCGUGAGAGGGACAUCACUAGCAAUUCUCCAGUGUCUUCUAGAUCAUCAGUUUUUCUUCUCUCCUGGAUUUAUCCCAUGACCUACAAACACUGUUAUUUUUUUCCAUCUUAAAAAUAAAAAAACUUGUCCCUACUUCCUCUCCAACUGCUGCUCCGUUUAUCCGUUAUCCUUUGCAGCAAACCUGUGCUUGCUAUCUUUAUCUCCUACCAUUCUCUCUUGAAGGCAUUCUAGUUAGGCUUUCACCCCCACCUGGAUAUCAAAACUGUUCUUGUCACCAGAGACCUCCAGGAAUUCAAGUUCAAUGGCCAGUUCUCUGCUCUCACCUUAAUUGCCUUAGCAGCAGCAUCUGGCAUGAUUGAUUACUCCCACCUCCUUAAUACACUGUUUAUUGCCUUCCAGGACAACACAUACUCCUGGUUUUCCUUCUACCUCACUGGUCACUCCUGAUUCUCCGCU